rnacentral:misc_RNA from 1 species
GAGAGCCUGGGGUCUAACCGGCCCCAACUCUUCACCCGUGUUUACAAUCAUAAACGUUGCUUUGGCGGGCCAGAGACUCGUCUCUGGUGGGCUCGCCCAUCCAGUGCCCGCCAAAGGCCCAACCAAACCCUGUUAUCAGUGUUGUCCGAGUAUAUAUACAAUAACUAAAACUUUCAACAACGGAUCUCUUGGUUCC